AUGGAAUACACUAUUGUAGUAGCUGAAAUGGCGGAUUCACCUGCUACAUUACAAUACCUCGCUCCUUAUACGGGAGCAGCCCUGGCUGAGUAUUUUAUGUACCGCGAACGGCAUACUUUAAUAAUUUAUGAUGAUCUCUCCAAACAGGCACAAGCUUAUCGCCAAAUGUCCCUUCUAUUAAGUCCCGGCCAUGAGGCUUAUCCAGGGGAUGUUUUUUAUUUGCAUUCACGCCUUUUAGAAAGAGCCGCGAAAUUAAAUUCUCUUUUAGGCGAAGGAAGUAUGACCGCUUUACCAAUAGUUGAGACUCAAUCUGGAGACGUUUCCGCCUAUAUUCCUACUAAUGGAAUCUCCAUUACAGAUGGACAAAUAUUCUUAUCUGCGGAUCUAUUCCAUGCCGGAAUUCGACCCGCUAUUAAUGUGGGUAUUUCAGUUUCCAGAGUAGGAUCCGCGGCUCAAAUUAAAGCCAUGAAACAAGUAGCUGGCAAAUCCAAAUUGGAACUAGCUCAAUUCGCAGAGUGA
rnacentral:rRNA from 1 species